UUUCACAAGGAUUUGGAAGCAGGCUCUUCACUCUGCUGAUACUGUGACACUGCCACCUAGAGAGGACGCCGGUUUUGGCUGUGAUUUGAACAGAUCUGUUUUCCAUGGCUCUCUGAACUUCGAUUUUAAUAUGCAUCUCCCUCAACUGUUUUCUAUUCCACUUCUUUUAUCUUUCUGUUUCCUAGAUUUUAUUAUCUACUGACAUCUUCGGGCUACUCUGCAGUGUACAGUUGGUGCUCUGUGAACCUGCUUGCUAAGAAACAGAAGAGGAAAAGAAAGUGACUCAUGUGAAGGGGGCUACCACUGAAACUAAGAAGAAAGAAAAAGAAGCAAAAAAAGAGAAAGCUCAUGAGAAGACAGCUGUCCCUGAAAUUAAAAAAGCAGAUAAAAAAGAAGCUGCUGUGCCCAAAGAACUUAAAAAGCCAGCAAAAGCUCCUGCAGCCAAACCAACUGCCACAAACCCAGCAGCACCAGAUCUUGUUUCUUUUAGCUUAUUCAACUCGAGGAGAACUCAAACUUAAGGAUAGCUGCUCUAGAUCAUCCUACAUCAUAUCCUUUUUGUAGUCUAAAUUAGAUUAUC
rnacentral:lncRNA from 1 species